CCCCUCUCAGGGUCGCACCUGGAGAGUUUUUAGCGCUCUACCAGUCUCGGCUAUGGUAGGGAGAGUCAAGCAGACACAUACCCAUUCCAUUCCUAGCCUGGGCAAUGGCUAGCAAGUGGAAGGCAAUCUGCUAUGAGU